GCCAGAGGCGGUGGCGCAUGCCUGUAGUCCCAGCUACUCGGGAGGCUGAGGCUGGUGGAUCACUUGAGCCCAGGAGUUCUGGGCUGUAGUGCCCUAUGUCGAUGGGGUGUUUGCACUAAGUUUGGCAUCAAUAUGGUGACCUCCCAGGAGCGGGGGACUCCCAGGUUGCCUAAGGAGGGGUGAACUGGCCCAGGUCAGAAACAGAGCAGGUCAAAACUCCCAUGCAGAUCAGUAGUGGGAUCGCGCCUGUGAAUAGCCACUGCACUCCAGCCUGGGCAACAUAGCAAGACCCGUCUCU
rnacentral:SRP_RNA from 1 species